rnacentral:tRNA from 1 species
UGGCCCGUGGUGUAACCAGGUAGCACGGCUGAUUCUGAAUCAGCGGGUUUAGGUUCGAAUCCUGGCGGGCCAG